rnacentral:tRNA from 1 species
GCCCCUGUAGCUCAGUGGAUAGAGCGUCUGCCUCCGGAGCAGAAGGUCGUAGGUUCGAAUCCUGUCGGGGGCG